CACACUCUGACUUUGCUUCUUGAAAAGCAAUGAUACUCAUGUGCUGCAUCAUGAUGUCUUGGUCAGCGAGGGACCGCAUGUACGAUGCUGGUCCCGUAAGAUCAGCACCGUGGAGCCUGGCCGAGCAGCAGGCUAGACAGCCUAGGAUUGCGUGAGCACAAGGACGGCAUCACCGAACGACACAUUUCUCAGAGCGUGUCCCGUGGCUCAGUGACACUGACUGGACACAUGAAUACGGUAGAGACGGUUCAUUGAACCCUUCACAGUGGGCUAACAGAUAUAAACGUGGAGUGAUGCCCUUUUAUCUUUUAAAGUUCUAUUUUACUUGGUUAUUUAUAAGACAAGAUACUUUCAUUUUAAUUAUAAUUGCUUUAUGGAUUAAUUAUCACAGUGAUUAUAUGAAUAUUUAAUACAACUUUAUGGUGUUUACCCACAGUAUCUUGAAAAUUAGCUCUUGUGUAUCAACAGGCCGGUGUGAAUAAUUCAUAUUCAUAAAUGCAGCUUGACUUUCAUUAGCAACGACUCCUGGAAGAUAUGUGAGCAUAUUACUGAAAAUGUGAGCUCUGGGAGUGAGUCGAAGUAAUUCUUUAUUUAUACAAACACCACAGCAGCUUAAAUGUCGGAAAAUUUCUUGGAUAAAAUCUCUUUCUUUGUAAUGUUGUUUUUCAGCAUUUCAGCAAUGCCUUCAAGAAAUCGUUGUUUCUAUUUCUCAUCUCCUAAUAAGGUCCUGCUCUCUGACUUCAUAUGCACCAGUUCUCUGUGCUCGUCAGACACAGAUUUCGGUGUGAUCAGAUGCCCCUGUGCAUUGGGGUUUGAACGACUUGAUUUCAGUGUUGAUUCUCCAUUAACGUUUUCGCCUCUGUCUCGUGACGAUUUCCACGGUGGACGCAGAGUCGAGCUGCGUGUGGUUCAUCUGUGACGUUCGUCCUGCGUGAUGGUGGAGACACCCAGAAUUCUCCAUCCUGUGCUCAUGACCCUCUGAAACACUGGUGCUGACCAGCCUCUGGGAGUGGCUGCCCCCUCAGGAGCAGUCAGCACCAUCGCUGCUUUGGGCCCACAGGCAACACCGCUUCUGUGGUUGCUGCCGGUUUGCGCUGCUGUGUGGGGCCCGCUCCAGGCUGACCCAUGUCACCCGCACCUCACCUCUGCUUGGGUGUCCACAGCCUGCGGCAAAGAGGCACUGCUGGACGAGAGGCCCUCCUCGGUUCAGAUUCCUUGUUAGUAGCUGAUUUAUUUAACCGCUGCUCACUUACUACCCCAGUUCCACCAGGGCAGACAUCCAUGUUGUUCACCUCUGCAGGCUGGUGUGUAACACGGGGCCUGGAAUACAGGAGGAGCUCAACCGACGUUCAGUGGCUUGGUUCAGCUUGGGGAGAACACUGACUGUUGGCCCGUUCCUACCCUCCUCACAGACCCUUCGCCCUGUGCACACACCGUGCGCUGGAAGCAGCAGGCCCCCAGGUCUGAGGCACCAGUUUUCCAGGGAGAUAGAUACAGCUACCUUCAGGUCAGCCCUUUGAAAGUCACGCUGACUCAGGUCACGACUCUGGCAUCUCCCUCCCAACAUGGUCCUCCCAUGGGGGCUCCCCCACGGUCACAGUGACUCAAGCAACGACCUCACAAACACAACCUGUGGACCAUACUGUCUCCAGAUUGGGAUUUCAGACCAAAGUCUUCGAGGAAGGAUCAGGGACUUACACAUAUUCACAAUUUUUUCUGAAGAAAAUUGAGGGACUAAAUGAGAUGAUGGGUAUAAAGCGCCUGGACCCACACUAUGUGCUCAACAGUUCUCACUAUUUCAGGUCAAUUUAGAGAUUUCUUUGCAAAGAGUUAUAAUUCCAAUCUUCGUUCUGCUCCACGUGGUCAAGUGUCCCCACGGUUCCAUCUAACCACCCCAGGUCAGCGGCGGACCUGGAGCCAUGUCUGACUGCUCAGUGGACACGUUGCUAAAGGAAAUUUGCGUGCCUCUUCCAUCGUUCUCUGGAAUGAGCCAGCUUCAGCACCCAAUGCGCAGGAAACGUUGGGGGAUAAACCAUGAUCUGGAGCUGAAUCACUUGUUGGUUAAAGACAGUGCAUUUCGUGACCCAAUCAGAGAAGUCAUCGUUAAUGGCGCCAGAGAGAAGCCGGGGUGUCUGGCUCUGUGGUUCACCUUUAGACUGCACCCACCUCGGCGAUGACAAUACGCAGCGUGGCAACUCCACCGUCCUUUGUUAGCCCGGCCUUGUGGAACCUGAGUUACCCAUGGCUGCAGGAGAUGCUGCGAGACUCAUGAGAAACUCACAUGUGAUAAAGACAAAGAACCCAGGGACAAAUCACGUCCCACUUUUAAAAGUUUCAUUUCUACUGAUAGAACUAUCCAGAAUCUUAAGGCUGAAACGAAAUCAUGCGUUUUGCUCAGUCCAUUUGGGCUGCUAUCAGGAAAUCCCACAGACUGGGUGGUUUAUAAAUAACAGAAAGGUAUUGCUCACAGUCUGGAGGCUGGAGGUCUGACUUCAGGAUGCCAGCACGACUGAGCCAGGGCCCUCUUGCAGGUCACAGACUUCUCUCUGUAUCCUCACCUGGCGGAGGGGCCAGGGAGCUCUGGGGGGUCUCCGUUACAAAGGCAGUAAUGCCAUCAUCAGAGGGCCCCAUCCUCAUGACCUGCGCUCUCCCAGGUCCCACCUCCUAAUGCCAUCACCUUAGUCACUGGGAUUUCAACAUGCGAAUCUGGGGGAACACAACUGUUCAGACCACAGUAUGCUUCAAGGAUGGACUUUGAUAAUGGAGAAAAAGUAGCAACAAACAAAUGAAAACUCACUCAAAACACCCAAAUUCGUUUUAUUCAGGGGGUCGCUAUAGUUUAGGUCCACUUAAAAUUUAUCUAACAAAUUACUUGCAUGGCUCCUCUUUCCUCAAAAAAAAAAAGAGAGAGAGAAGAAAUUUGCUAUCCUUAAUUCCUAAUGAACAUGGUAAACUGUGUUCCCUUGCCUGGAUGGUAUGAUCAGAGGCACGAAACUUUCUCCAGGAGCCCAUCCUGAGCUUAGGGUGAAAUGAAUGACAGAUGAAGACUUUGGAAUCCACCUAGUUGUCUAUAUUUUUGUAAAUGGAAAGAUCUGAUUGUCCAUUCACUUAUUUCUUCAAUUAAACAAGAUUUGUCCAAAAAUAUCUUCUAUAUGAAGAAACUAAAACACUGGGGCUUUUUCCUAAUUUAAAAAGUAAUAGAUAUUGACUUCUGUCACCAGCUAUGGUGAAGUACUUGGGCCGAGCUUAAUUUUCAGAUAUAAACAACUAGAAAAGUAGGCAGAAUAUGGAAACGACUGUUUUCAGAUACUGGAAAGCAGGCAGCACAGAGGGCUGUGAUCCUUGAUAAAAAGAGGAACAGACACGAUGAUUCCUGCAACUGUCCAGCGUGCGUGUGAGGGCGUAAUGCCUAUGGAAGGCUUCGAAGGCAGUACUUCCUGAGUAGUUUUUUGCAGGCUUAAAACUGUUUUCUCUAAGACCUUGAUGCUUGGAAUGUGGCUUGACUGGUUCUAGAAGCCCAGGUUGGGUCUCCAUUGCUGGAGUCUCUCGGAACACUUGCCCACUGUGCCCUGUGCCCUCCCUUUGUGUGUUCUUGAGAAGAGUGAGAACACUGCCAUACCAUGGCUUGAUGAGCCAGGUGUAGGUGCACGCCCAGGAUCUGAACUCAUGAACCCAGGGCGACCAGAAGCAGAGCACGGGAACUUAACCACUAUGCCACCGGGCUAGCCCCGUCCUUCUUUUUCUAAAUUAUCUAUAUGAAGCGGCUCACGGUUGAUGGACAUUUAGCUCCUUACUAAAAGCUUUUGGAU
ensembl:lncRNA